GCAUACGCGGGCUCACGCAGCUGCUCACUUGUUUGGUUGGCCCGCCUGCCGCUCCUCCUCGUGCACACCUCCCCCUUUUAUCCUGUCUCUCUCACUCGCUGUAGACGUCUGCUCACGUGCUUUCUCUCCCCCAUCUGCCGUAUGCAUGUGUGUGCAUGCGUGUGUGUGCCCGCGUCUGUCUCUCCCAGCAUGAGGGCGUGUACUCUCCUCACUCCACCCCACCCCAUCAUCCUCUCUCUCCUCCCCAUCCGGUGACUGUCGUUGCCCUUUCGACUGCCUUACUGCAGUGCAUGAAUAGACGCACACACCCACACAAAUAUGUGCAUGGACCCGUACUCGGCACUGGAUGCGAUGCAGCCGCAGCGAAAGGGAUUGGAAUGGCGAGAGAGCCCCUGGUGCGUGUGGGCGUGGGGGGGUUCACUGCACGCCAUUGCCUGACUCUUUCGUAGGGUUUCUUCACGUCGCUUAUCCUCGUUGUUUUUCACAUUCGGUGUCGAGGCAUCCGUCGAUUGGGUGUGCGCAUGUCCGCUGGUGGGGGGCCUGUGUAGCCUCCUUUGUUGGUGUUCUUGUGCGCCUCCAUCCACUGUUGAGUCGUCUUUCGCUUGCCGCUGCGGCGAGCAGUACACACACACACACACACAGGUGCACAGGUGUGCGCACUCACAGAGGAAUAUAACGUAAAACCGUCUACCUUGUACUAUCACGACUGCAACGUGCUAGGGCGCUCGAGUGUAGAGGCAGCGGGGGGGGCGGCGGUGGCUGCUCGAUGCUCUCUGCUUGCACACAGUCACAGGGAGAGACCACGCAACUCUGUUUGACAAGCUGCUCGGCGUCUCGCUAGGUACGCACCGUCUCUCUGUCUACCUGCGUGUGCGCACAUCCACGGUUCGUGUUCUGGUAGCGCGACAUCCCCGCGAUGAUUAUCGACUUGCUUGUUCUCCCUCACUGCGGCUGCUGCUGCUUCCCUUUGACUGUGCAGCUUCGUUGCCUUUUUCUGUUACGCGACGCGCACUCACGGCUUCUUUCCCACGCACCCCAUGAGCCUCUUCCAACCUCUCCUCUGAGGCUCCCCUCGUCUCCUUCUCCCCCUUAAACUUCUUCAUGAGCGGUCUCGUGCCUUCGCUUGCGCACUCCGCUUUCUGUGGAUGCCUACCCUCCGUCUUCCGCGUCCUCUCACGUGCUCGCAG
rnacentral:misc_RNA from 1 species